GGCGGGACCAUGGCUGCGAAGCUGCGAGCGCAUCAGGUGGACGUGGACCCGGACUUCGCGCCGCAGAGCCGGCCGCGCUCGUGUACCUGGCCCCUGCCGCAGCCUGACUUGGCCGGCGACGAGGACGGAGCGCUGGGCGCAGGGGUGGCCGAGGGCGCCGAGGACUGCGGGCCGGAGCGCCGGGCUACGGCCCCGGCGAUGGCCCCAGCGCCGCCCCUGGGCGCGGAGGUCGGACCGCUGCGGAAAGCGAAGAGCUCUCGGCGGAACGCGUGGGGGAACCUGUCCUACGCCGACCUCAUCACCAAAGCCAUCGAGAGCGCCCCGGACAAGCGGCUCACGCUCUCGCAGAUCUACGACUGGAUGGUCCGUUACGUGCCCUACUUCAAGGAUAAAGGCGACAGCAACAGCUCGGCCGGCUGGAAGAACUCCAUCCGGCACAACCUGUCGCUGCACACCCGUUUCAUCCGCGUGCAGAACGAGGGCACCGGCAAGAGUUCGUGGUGGAUGCUGAACCCCGAGGGCGGAAAGACAGGCAAGACCCCGCGGCGCAGGGCCGUGUCCAUGGACAACGGAGCCAAAUUCCUGCGCAUCAAGGGCAAGGCGAGCAAGAAGAAGCAGCUGCAGGCGCCCGAGCGAAGCCCGGACGACAGCUCCCCGAGCGCGCCCGCCCCGGGGCCGGUGCCUGCCGCAGCCAAGUGGGCCGCCAGCCCCGCCUCGCACGCCAGCGACGACUACGAGGCUUGGGCCGACUUCCGCGGCGGCGGGAGACCCCUGCUCGGGGAGGCGGCCGAGCUGGAGGACGACGAGGCCCUGGAGGCCCUGGCGCCAUCAUCGCCGCUCAUGUACCCAAGCCCCGCCAGCGCGCUGUCGCCGGCGCUGGGCGCGCGCUGUCCGGGUGAGCUGCCCCGCCUGGCCGAGCUGGGAGGCCCGCUGGGCCUGCACGGCGGCGGCGGCGCGGGGCUGCCCGAGGGCCUGCUGGACGGCGCGCAGGACGCGUACGGGCCGCGGGCCCGCGCCCAGGCCCGGCCCGGUGCUGGGUGCGCCGGGGGAGCUGGCGCUGGCGGGCGCAGCCGCCGCCUACCCCGGCAAGGGGGCGGCCCCGUACGCGCCGCCCGCGCCCUCGCGCAGUGCCUUAGCCCACCCCAUCAGCCUUAUGACGCUGCCCGGCGAGGCGGGCGCCGCGGGCCUGGCACCGCCGGGCCACGCCGCCGCCUUCGGGGGCCCGCCCGGCGGCCUCCUGCUGGACGCGCUGCCGGGGCCCUACGCGGCCGCCGCCGCCGGGCCGCUGGGCGCCGCGCCCGACCGCUUCCCGGCCGACCUGGACCUCGACAUGUUCAGCGGGAGCCUCGAGUGCGACGUGGAGUCCAUCAUCCUCAACGACUUCAUGGACAGCGACGAAAUGGACUUCAACUUCGAUUCGGCCCUGCCUCCGCCGCCGCCGGGCCUGGCCGGGGCCCCGCCCCCCAACCAGAGCUGGGUGCCGGGCUGAGGGCCGCCUCCCGCCUCCGGGCGCCCCGUCCCGUCCCCAGGGGGCCUCUGUCUUCCCAUCCUGAUUCCCGGGUCCCUGCCCCCGACUCUAGCUCCCCAGGAGGCGGCCCCAGCCCAGCUAGGGACCCCUCUCGGAGGCCGGCCGCCGGGGAAGGGGAGGGAGGGGCCGGGGCACCCCACUGCUCCUGCCCACACUCCUGAGAUCCACCCCCUUCUCCUGGGCAGGAAGCCUGGGAGAGGAGGCUGAAUUCCAGGCUGGCUGGGAGUAGGGAGGAGCGGGGUGGGCCGCCUGGUGUGGACGGUGGUUGGGGAAGCCAACUAGGAGAUGGGCCAGGGAGCGUUUACAAAUCUUCAGUUUCAUUUGCGGAGCCCUAGCCGUGACCCCGCGCCCACCCCAAACACGGAUCUGAUUCCCACUUGACACACUUUCCCACUGGUCUUGGUCUCACCCACCCGAAGCCAGCAACCCUCUGCGGAAAACUCACACCUACCUAUAUCCACCCACCCUGAGCAGCCCUCCACCCCCAAAUCGCCCUCCGACGACCGCCACCCCCACAGUUCAGUCUCCCCCUCCCAUCCCUGUCGGCCCUCGCUUCUCCCCUCCCCCGUCGGAGUCAGUCCCUCUCUUCAACCGCCCCCACCCCCUAGUACUGGUCUCAGCUUCUCCAGCGGGCCUCAGCCCUGUCCACCCCCAACCCCGACGCCCCUUUCUCCGCGCCAGUUCUGGCCCUUCUCCCAUAUUUAUAAGUGUCCGGCCGGGACGGGCGGUGGGCGCGGCGUCCCCGGCGCGUAUCGUAGGCAGUGUACCGUGGCCGUGCCGUCAGAGUGUGCGUGUGCGUGUGUGCCGUGUCGAGGCUGUGUAGAGUGCAUUGUACAGCAUAUUUUCAUGAAUAAAAUUGUUUUAAAUAUU
rnacentral:sRNA from 1 species